rnacentral:rRNA from 1 species
AUGGCAUUGACGUCGGCUGGACGGAGCUCAAACGGGAAGGGGACCGGCCGCUACGACCCUCGAAGACGCAGAUGGCGCUGGUGCACAUUCUCACAGACCCAGUGCUCAUGUAGCCUGGGUGCUGGACCGGUCGAAGACGACCAAGGAGCCCGACGCUCGCUGCCAGCACAGAGACACAUCGCUGCCACAUGCUCGCCCGCCCGCGCAGCCUCGACGCUACGCUUCGCUAGCCCCCUUGUCUUCCACCGCGCAAUCCAUCAAGGAGGAGCCCAUCGACAAGGAAGGCGAUGA